GUCGCAAGACCAAAGUGGGGGACCUUCGGGCCUCAUGCCAUCAGAUGUGCCCAGAUGGGAUUAGCUAGUAGGUGGGGUAACGGCUCACCUAGGCGACGAUCCCUAGCUGGUCUGAGAGGAUGACCAGCCACACUGGAACUGAGACACGGUCCAGACUCCUACGGGAGGCAGCAGUGGGGAAUAUUGCACAAUGGGCGCAAGCCUGAUGCAGCCAUGCCGCGUGUGUGAAGAAGGCCUUCGGGUUGUAAAGCACUUUCAGCGGGGAGGAAGGCGGUGAGGUUAAUAACCUCAUCGAUUGACGUUACCCGCAGAAGAAGCACCGGCUAACUCCGUGCCAGCAGCCGCGGUAAUACGGAGGGUGCAAGCGUUAAUCGGAAUUACUGGGCGUAAAGCGCACGCAGGCGGUCUGUCAAGUCGGAUGUGAAAUCCCCGGGCUCAACCUGGGAACUGCAUUCGAAACUGGCAGGCUAGAGUCUUGUAGAGGGGGGUAGAAUUCCAGGUGUAGCGGUGAAAUGCGUAGAGAUCUGGAGGAAUACCGGUGGCGAAGGCGGCCCCCUGGACAAAGACUGACGCUCAGGUGCGAAAGCGUGGGGAGCAAACAGGAUUAGAUACCCUGGUAGUCCACGCCGUAAACGAUGUCGAUUUGGAGGUUGUGCCCUUGAGGCGUGGCUUCCGGAGCUAACGCGUUAAAUCGACCGCCUGGGGAGUACGGCCGCAAGGUUAAAACUCAAAUGAAUUGACGGGGGCCCGCACAAGCGGUGGAGCAUGUGGUUUAAUUCGAUGCAACGCGAAGAACCUUACCUGGUCUUGACAUCCACAGAACUUAGCAGAGAUGCUUUGGUGCCUUCGGGAACUGUGAGACAGGUGCUGCAUGGCUGUCGUCAGCUCGUGUUGUGAAAUGUUGGGUUAAGUCCCGCAACGAGCGCAACCCUUAUCCUUUGUUGCCAGCGGUUAGGCCGGGAACUCAAAGGAGACUGCCAGUGAUAAACUGGAGGAAGGUGGGGAUGACGUCAAGUCAUCAUGGCCCUUACGACCAGGGCUACACACGUGCUACAAUGGCAUAUACAAAGAGAAGCGACCUCGCGAGAGCAAGCGGACCUCAUAAAGUAUGUCGUAGUCCGGAUUGGAGUCUGCAACUCGACUCCAUGAAGUCGGAAUCGCUAGUAAUCGUAGAUCAGAAUGCUACGGUGAAUACGUUCCCGGGCCUUGUACACACCGCCCGUCACACCAUGGGAGUGGGUUGCAAAAGAAGUAGGUAGCUUAACCUUCGGGAGGGCGCUUACCACUUUGUGAUUCAUGACUGGGGUGAAGUCGUAACAAGGUAACCGUAGGGGAACCUGCGGUUGGAUCACCUCCUUACCUUAAAGAA
rnacentral:rRNA from 1 species